UCCUGGGGCUGAAGCCGGUCCCAAGGGUAUGGCUGUUCGCCAUUUAAAGUGGUACGCGAGCUGGGUUUAGAACGUCGUGAGACAGUUCGGUCCCUAUCUGCCGUGGACGUUUGAGAUUUGAGAGGGGCUGCUCCUAGUACGAGAGGACCGGAGUGGACGAACCUCUGGUGUUCCGGUUGUCACGCCAGUGGCAUUGCCGGGUAGCUAUGUUCGGAAGAGAUAACCGCUGAAAGCAUCUAAGCGGGAAACUUGCCUCAAGAUGAGAUCUCACUGGGAUCUUGAAUCCCCURAAGGGCCGUCGAAGACUACGACGUUGAUAGGUUGGGUGUGUAAGCGCUGUGAGGCGUUGAGCUAACCAAUACUAAUUGCCCGUGAGGCUUGACCAU
rnacentral:rRNA from 1 species